rnacentral:rRNA from 1 species
GUGCCAGCAGCCGCGGUAAGACGAACCGUGCGAACGUUGUUCGGAAUCACUGGGCUUAAAGGGCGCGUAGGCGGAUCGACCAGUCUGUGGUGAAAUCCUUCAGCUUAACUGGAGAAGUGCCGUGGAUACUGUCGGUCUCGAGGAGGAUAGGGGCAUCUGGAACUGCCGGUGGAGCGGUGAAAUGCGUUGAUAUCGGCAGGAACUCCGGUGGCGAAGGCGAGAUGCUGGAUCCUUUCUGACGCUGAGGCGCGAAAGCCAGGGGAGCAAACGGGAUUAGAAACCCUGGUAGUCC